GCCGUAACGUAACAUGGCGGCGCCCGUGGCCGGCUCUCGAGGGCUGCGGAAGAUGACGUCAGCAGAGGAGAGGGCUGGCUCGGCCGAGCUGCGCCCCCUUCGGCCCUGAAGUGGACAGAAACCCGACGCGCGGGCUGGCGAGGGCUCCCCCCACUCCACGGGCGGGCGCCGGGGGGCGGCAAGGACGCCGGGGUCCCGCGCCGCUGGGAGCGAGGUUGUCGAGUGCUUUGUCCCAAGACAGGACUGAGUGAUGAUGCCCGCGGCUGCUCCACGUCCUCAGGCUCAGCUGCAGGCGGCGUUCUCCAGGCCGGCUUCCUUGCCUGCGCCCAGUGAUCUGUGUCAUAGCGUCCAGAAUCGGGCCAGCGCCUAGAGUCGGGCUAGUAUCUCUUGUGGACGAGGACAGCAAACUUGGAGCUUGGACCCAGACCUCAUCAUCUCCGGAAAGAGUACCUGUGCACGAGCCCCCCUUCAGAUCCCCCUCUGCCACCAGAGCCACGGGGCUCCAGCCUUUCCACUUCAUCCAGACCUGUGAGGGGAGAGGGUCAGGGAGCACCCAGUGCCUCACCCGUCUUCAGGUACCUGGGCGGUGGAGAGGUCAGCAGUCCAGACCCUUCCCAUCAGGGCCUGCUGUCCUUCGAGAUUGGAGUGAGGCCCAACUCUGCUUUUAGUUUACUUGAGUCAGUUUUUCUUCCUUCCGCCACCAAUCCCGAAGCUCAACGCUACGAUGUGUUGGAACUGUGUCCUGAUGUGUGUGUCAGACAUAAAGUAUUGUUACGUGUAUGUUGGUAUCUUUGGUGGACAGGUGAGAUCGUGCUGAUCUUGUAUCCACAUUUUAGCUUUCCAUCCCCCUAGGAUGCAACCCUCACCUUGCUUCCAGUUGCCCCACCCUAUGGACAGUCUACAGUGAGGACCCUCCAACGAGGCCCUCUCAGACCACAUGUAAGAGUCUGGGAGGUGCACGCCCCAGAGUCAGGGUGUUGGCCAAAGGUCACCAGGUAGUGUUAAAGAGGGCUGCUAAAAGUUCUCUAGGCAGGGGCUUCCCUGGUGGUGCAGUGGUUGAGAGUCCACCUGCCGAUGCAGGGGACACGGGUUCGUGCCCUGGUCCGGGAGGAUCCCACAUGCCGCGGAGCGGCUGGGCCCGUGAGCCAUGGCCGCUGAGCCUGCGCAUCCGGAGCCUGUGCUCCGCAACGGGAGAGGCCACAGAAGUGAGAGGCCCGUGUACCGCAAAAAAAAAAAAAAAAAGUUCCCUAGGCGGACUGUGCUGGUUCACCUCCCACAGUUGACACAGGCUUGUGAGAGCCAAUUGCUAAAUUUUCAGGAAUGUUAUAAGCUUGUCAUUAAACACUGCCAUUGUUAAAAAUGUAACUUCAGGGCUUUCCUGGUGGUGCAGUGGUUGAGAAUCCGCCUGCCAGUGCAGGGGACACAGGUUCAAGCCCUAGUCCAGGAAGAUCCCACAUGCCGCAGAGCAACUAAGCCCGUGUGCCACAACUACUGAGCCUGUGCUCUAGAGCCCGUGAGCCACAACUACUGGGCCCGUGUGCCACAACUACUGAAGCCCGUGUGCCUAGAGCCUGUGCUCCGCAACAAGAGAAGCCACCGCAAUGAGAAGCCCAUGCACCACAACGAAGAGUAGCCCCCGCUUGCCGCAACUAGAGAA
rnacentral:lncRNA from 1 species